UCGCAAAGUUUCGGAUCAUGUUGGCGCCAUAUUUUCUCAUCCGACCCUCUUCCUACCGGCGACAGUUGAAACUUCCUAAAAGUGUAUCGAAUUUCCAUUCGUGGGAUCCCGAAACCCAUAUUCUUAUCCACGGAGGAGGAAAACGAGGGAGACGAGAAAUUUCUCUAAUAUUCUUCCAAUUUCGCCAUCUAAAUAUAAACAUCCGCCGUAUUUCUACGAGGCGGAUAGCGUAAUCUGAUCUCUCUACAAUGCGCCGCCGGUCGUCGUGGCGACAUCGUCUGUUGGAAACGAACCGUUCUCUCGGCUUCUGUACUCCCUCCAUCGCGAUGUGUGCGCGUCAACUUGGCGAGUUUGCGUAGUUAGCGUUACUUGUGCAUUAAUUGAGGAUUACAACGGCGGCGGAGAUACGAGGAGAGGUGGGUUGGAGGGAGGGAGAGAUCGAGGCGAGCGAGAGAAGGAAAGUCAUACGGAGCUGAGCGGAUAUAUAGAGGGAGGGGGAUCGACGAGGCGACAAGAAUAAAGCGAGACGGAGACAUACUGGACGAGGAUGGAGAGAUCUCGAGAUGGUCGACAAGCGUGGAUACCAGACUCAUAGCGCAGCCUUUGGUCUCAGAGUCUGAUGCGCACGGUAACUUUCCUAAUCACCGUACGAAGCCCUGAGGUAGUCAUCCGCGCAGCCAUCAUACCGCCUAAGUGCAGUAGACACGGAAGCUCGAUUAGAGACGUCGAAAUCGCGUGCACAAUAAGCGUUAUUCGGAUCGUGGAUGACAUUGUCGACUAGGUUGGACCGACGGUUGUUACACCUGUGCGUCGGUACCUUCGUUCGAACUUGUGCCACUCUUUCCCACCGGUGAGACUCGGACUCGACGUUGAUGUAUGUUCUAGCUUCGACAAAGGAACUCGUUCCAAGCGAAAACUCGGGAGAAAACGUCGCCCUGGAGAUUUUCAACCGACCAAGAGACAAGUUUGAAUCGUUCUAGUCGAGCUGGUUAAAUUCGGUCGGCGAAACACGGGUGAAGCCUUGUUAGCUGACCGUGUCUUGGGACUGUAUUAGAAGUGGAUAGAAUGAACAACAUACGGAAUAAGAAGAAGACAGAAAAUCGAUCCUCUUCGUCCCUUUUUGCGCGGUGAAUCCCGAUUGAGGACGAUAAGAACGGAAGUUGUUUGGUCUUCCAGUGUUUAUUCGCGCGGUUCCAAGCUUGGCUCCAGAAGGGUUUAACGAUAACAAGUUCAAGGCACGGGGAAAUUAAAGUCGCGCGUCCUAGGAAGCCAGAUAGCCGACGAGUUACUCGACUUUAAAGCGGUCACAGAGACGUAAAGCUGAAUAAUUGCAUUAAGCCGUGGCGAAGUAAGGAAUACUGCGAUAUUUCAUGCAAUAAACCGCGGCUAUGUCACGAGCGGAGCUUAGCUUUAAACUUCCGCCCGCGUCCGUUCCAACUUUCAACGACAUAUCACCGGGCAAACGUGAGAAAUGGAAGUAUCUUCACCUGUUCCUUCCUUUUCCUCGCUUUUCGAGAAUUUGCAUAUAUACAUAUAUACAUUUCUUUAUCGAUCGAUCGUUUUUGAAAUUUUUUUUUUCUUUUUUUUUAUUAAAAAAAGAGCGCUGUUUCAAAGCGAAAAAUGUUUAAACGAGAAUUAAAUAGUUUGUUAAUAUUUU